UACGAAGGGGGCGAGCGUUGUCCGGAUUUAUUGGGCGUAAAGAGCGUGUAGGCGGCCAGGUAGGUCUGCUGUGAAAACUCGAGGCUCAACCUCGAGCUGUCGGCGGAAACCAUCUGGCUAGAGUCCGGAAGAGGAGAGUGGAAUUCCUGGUGUAGCGGUGAAAUGCGCAGAUAUCAGGAAGAACACCUAUGGCGAAGGCAGCUCUCUGGGACGGUACUGACGCUGAGACGCGAAAGCGUGGGGAGCGAACAGG
rnacentral:rRNA from 1 species